CACUCUGUCUACUCUCUACUCUGAAGUCUGAACUCAAUCUCACACGGAUGAUACACGAACUAGGGUUGCUGCUGCACCGCGUUUCCUUCCCAGGUCCAGGUCGCCGGCAUCUGCAGAGAGAGAAAGAGAGAGUCCAUGAAACUCAACAGGAAACCUCCAUCCAUCCAUCCGCCUGGCCGGCUCACUGACGACCUGUGCUAUCGCUUCUUGGACUUGCACACGAAAGCAGCGGCAGCAAGGCAACGCAGUGCAUCAGCGUUUUCGUGACUUGACUGGGCGUACACAGCUAAAGAAGGCCGAUACGUCUAGCUAGCAGGGUGCUCGAGGAGCGGCGACGACGGUUGACGACAGACAUGGUGGAAGUGCUCUCAUGUAUCAAGGAUUGGAAGUUGGCUGACCAGCACAAGCAACAUACUGUGGAGAAGGAAACCAAAGACCUGAAGCAACCUUUGAAGAUAUGUACCUAGAUGAUGAGCAACGAGUAUCACCAGGGAGCAAAAGAAAGGAACAUGAAGGAGGAGGAGAUACGAGAAAGGAAGCAGCACUAAAGAGUUCUAAAAGCAAACAACCUUAAACUUAUUCUCUCUUUCUUUUCCCACCUAUUUAUGUUCUCUUAUUUGUAAUAUGCUCAUAUGGACUGUGGACUGUGGACUGAACUAUGAACCUAUAAAUAAUUUAAGGAGCUGGCUGUACUCUUUUCCUUUCUAGAGUUUUCUCACGAGGUGUGAGUUUUUACCUAGAAAGGUUUUUAAUGAGGCAGCAUUGCACUAAGGCUCCACAAGUAUUUCUGUUAAAUUGGAUGUAUUCUGUGUACAUGUAUGGUUUAAUGUGAUGUUUUA